CACAGACACACACACACUCUCUUACACACACACACACACACACACACACACGCGCGCGCGCGCAUUCUCGGUUUUCGUUUGAUCCAAAUUGACACUCGUGUGUACACACGCACACACACAGACACUUAGAAAUGCAGACACGUACACACGCACACACAAAUACUCACUCAUUCUUUUACCCCCACCCCCACAUGUGGAUUAAAAAAAAAAAAAUUAUCCAAACUGUUUUAAUCGUAAUUAACGUGGAUGUUGCAACGAAUAUCAAAGUCCAAGAUACUGUUGUUGUAUUUUGUAUUAUUCAGACAUCGUUUUCUCCUGGUAACAAAGGAUUGUGCUUAAAUAACAAACACAGUGAUGUUUCGGUCGAUGACGCAUGGGAAAUACAUAACAAAAAAACAUAUAUGUAUAUAUAUUUAUGUAUAUAUAAUCAACCAUAGAGUUAAACCAGUGCAUCGGUUAAUAUUGGCAUAAUGACUCUCUACAGACACAACAAAAUGAUAAACUUACGAAGCUCGUGGGACAAUGGAAUGAGGGCAAGACAGAAGAAGAAAGGUGUUAUAUCCUUAUGGAUAAACGAAUAUACUGCAACAGUGUAAUGACAACAUAAUCGAAACAAACGGCAGUAAACACACGGAACAACAAUCUCUCCAGAACCGACAAUCCAACGCGCUAACUCGAACUGUAAAUUUUGAACUUCAACUUUGAACUAUGAACACACAAACUGUGGAAUUAGCACGAACUACCUCACUUUCUCAGACCGCUAUUAUUUAUAUGUUGUGGUACAGUCCAUUCUCGCCAGGGGCCGUCGUACUCUCGCACAACAUCUACCCUUUUGAGAUUUCGUGUUCCAAAGGAAUAAAGAAAUUUUUU
rnacentral:misc_RNA from 1 species